rnacentral:rRNA from 1 species
AGCAGUAGCCGCGGUAAUACGGAGGGUGCAAGCGUUAAUCGGAAUUACUGGGCGUAAAGCGCACGCAGGCGGUCUGUCAAGUCAGAUGUGAAAUCCCCGGGCUUAACCUGGGAACUGCAUUUGAAACUGGCAGGCUAGAGUCUUGUAGAGGGGGGUAGAAUUCCAGGUGUAGCGGUGAAAUGCGUAGAGAUCUGGAGGAAUACCGGUGGCGAAGGCGGCCCCCUGGACAAAGACUGACGCUCAGGUGCGAAAGCGUGGGGAGCAAACAGGAUUAGAUACCCCAGUAGUCCCUGUCUCUUAUAC